UGUAUUUCAAAGAAAUAUUAAAAUAUUAGUGUAUGAGAUUAUAUCUUAUGAUUUUACUUUUUAUAUUAAAAUAAUUGGAGGGGUGGCAUAUUAUCCACGUUACCACAUGGAUUUUGGACAUGUAUUAGACAUUACCUAUUCAUUCUUUAUAAUUAAGAAAUUUGGCCAGCAAUAAUCUUUUUCUGAUGAGUUUCCAUCUGACUCCAUAACAUUUCGUAUUUUUGGAUUAGGAAAUUGAAUCGUCCAAUAGGAGAAAAUUUACCCGAGCCGGAGAAUUCGAUCAUAUUCAAGGAUAAAAAUCGAGAGCUCGGUGUACAAAAAGUUUGAGGUCCCGAAAUAAUUUAGGUCUUAACAAGUGUGACCAUGGGGAUUGAGAAUAAUAUUUUGUGUGUACCAAAAGGGACUAUGGGCUAGUGCUAGAUGUUAUAUCUCGUAUUUUUGUACGAUUGGAUUAUUCGUAAAUAAGUUUAAGGACAAGAUUAAUCUUGAGAUAUGAGACGAGGAUUUUUAAUCCCGAUUUAUUAUUGCUCGGCUUACUAAUUAAUUGCAAAUAGUGUGGGAACAUUAGCGAAGUGGGAAAUUAACUAACCAUGAUUAGAUUAUUAAAUGGGGAUUAGAAAUUAAUUAAGAUUAAUUAAGUGUAUUAAAUGGACUCCAUUAUAACACGACCAAAUCUGAUUGGUCCAUACCAUAGUGAGACAUGUGUCAGUUGGUGGCUUAAGUAGUAAGCUCUAGAUAUAAUAUAAAUGAGAAUGGUACAUAAGAAAUUCUUGAAGUGGGUUCUACCUAAUUUUUGUCUUAUAUAUAUUUGGAUAACUUUGGACUAGGGGCAGCCACGUUUUCCUCCUAUUUAGCUUAGUUGUCCUACUAGCUAAUAUACCACUAUAGGGAUAUAUAACAAUAUUAGGCUUACAAAGUGUGCUAUAUAUAUCUGUAGGGUAGUUCUAUAUAUCUACACGUAAAGAUUAAAAUACUAUAAUCUUAGGAAAUUGGUAGGGAGUUCAUAGAUAGCUGCUGCUAUGAUUUUAUGAUCGUGGUUCUGUGCAAAACGAUUGGAUUCAAGGUAUAGAUUCCCAACACAACAAGUUCGUUGUUUUAACUUAGAGUUCGUUAAAUCCGGGCUUUAUUUAAAGGAAAGUAAAGUGGAAGAAGAUUAUUUUUUUUUCCAUAUUAGGCUAAAAGGGCGACGAGGCGAAAAGGAUUCAUGAAUAGUCGCUGACAGGUAUGUAAAGCCUACCUUUCUUUCUUUUGGCAUGACCUUUAUGAAACGAACAAAUAACACAUAUGUAUGCUUUUAAAGAAAAUCCUAUUCUUAAAGCCACUAGGAUGACCAAUAUCUUUGACUUCCAUAAGCCAUUCCAUAUGGUUUGAUACGUACUUAUGAUGUCCGAAGUUCUAUUUGAUAUGUUUCCGAAUGUUGUUCGAAAAAUAUUUGAUAUGGCUAAAGUCUUGGAUAUAUAUUUUGAUACGUACAUAUGACUCUAAAGGCUCCAUUCGAUUUGAUCCAUAAGGAUAUUUGAAAGUUCCCUAAUAUGAUUGUUACUUGAAUUUCCAAAAAGAGCUUCUGAAACGUUUUUAGAACGUUCUGUACUUCAAAAGUUCGUAACUUUCGUAUACUAAUUCUGAUUGACCCGAAACUGAUUUCUGAGCCUUCGGAUGCCGUAAAUAUAUUGUCCAUCGAGUUUUGGAAUUUAUUUAAUUAUAUGCAUUUAGUUUCUCACUACUCCACUCGUGGAUGCCCUCAAUGCUGCUUUCACUGAGCCCGGGCCAGGAUAUGUUAUCACGCGUAUUCCACUGCAUUGUUCGCCGUGCCUCGAUGUGAGGGGGCAGGUAUACAUGUACAUGGGUUGUGGAGUAUGUUGUGCCAUGUACACACAUUCUGAUGUAUGAUAAUAUGAUAAGAUAUGGCCAUCGAAUAUGUUUGAUAUGUGCACAUUCUGAUAUGAUAUGAUAUGUUACGGAGCUAUUCCCUACUCUGGAGUAUGCUGUGUUGUGGCGCCAGUGACGGGGUGGCGACCACGUUCUGUUCACCGAGUCCCAUAAUGGGGGUCGGAUAUGGCAUAUGCUCUGACAUGUAUUAUCUCUGUUCUGUGAGUAAGCAUUUUGACAUUCCGGUUAUUGUACUUAUAUUUUGUACCCUCUGUUCAGAUUAUGAUUCUGUUUAUUGUACUUUAUGCUUUACAUACUCGGUACAUAUUCCGUACUGACCCCCUUUCUUCGGGGGCUGCGUUUCAUGCCACGCAGGUACAGACGACUGAUUUACCGAUCCGCUCGCUUAGGAUUCUAUUCUGCUGUCUUGGAGUGCUCGGUUGUUCGGAGCCUACGUCUUGGUACAGUCUUUUGCCAUUGUACAUAUGUAUGUGGUUCAGGGGUAUGACGGGGCCCUGUCCCAUCUUGUGAUUCGGUUGCUAUUUGUAGAGGUCUGUAGACAUACAUGUGGGUUGUGUAUAUGUUUUGGGUUGAUAUGAUUUGUGAUAGCCUUAUCGGCUUCCACGCGCUAAAUCUGCUUAGCUGUGAUAAUUAGUAACGCCAAUCGACUCUUACAUAUAUAUAUAUAUAUAUAUAUAUAUAUAUAUAUAUAUAUAUUCUGCUAAUAUGCUGGUUUGGGUUAUUGGGUACGUUCGAGUGUCCAACACGGACACUAGUCGCGGCCUACGGGGUUGGGUCGUGACAAAAGUGGUAUCAGAGCGGUUUGUCCUCGGAAUAUCUACAGGCCGUGUCUAGUAGAGUCUUGUUUAUCGGUGUGUUGUGCACCACAUCUAUAAACAGGAGGCUACAGGACAUUUAGGGUGUUAUCUUUCUUUGGUUCUUAGAUCGUGCGAUAGAGCCCAGCCAUAAGAAAUGAAAUUUCUUUCUACUAACCCUUAAUUUCAGCUGGAGAACGGUAUCGACAGAAGAAAGUGGCUGAUGAUAUUGGAAGCUACACUGUACACAGGUAAGAAACGGUGCGAAAAGGGAAUGUUGGAUAAGGUAAGAAUAUUGAGAUAUGAUUGAAAUAUAAGGUUGAAGAAUGAAAGAUAAGGUAGAUAGGAAGGUAUAACAGGACGGAUCGUUAAGGGUAAGUUCUGACACCUUUAUACUUUUUACUUGAAAUUGGGAGCCCUGUGUGGCUAUGAUAUGAUACGAUAUAUGCGUAUAUAUGUUGGCCAUGUGAGGCAUUGUUGGUAUUUCCUGCAUGCAGGUUUUGAGAUAGUAAGAAAUACAGAGGAAACUCUGUCAAAAUUUUUCUAGAAAUUAAUUAAGACUGUGAGAUAAAUAUCAUUUGGACAAAUGCCCCGCAAGUUAUCGACAUGUGACAGCCAAUAUACAUAUACACGCGCAUAAGUUAAAAAAAAAAAAAAAAAAAAAAGGGUACAAGAACAUUUGUUCCUUAGCAAUGUCCCGUGAAGAAGUAAAACAUGGGUAGUUUUUAUUUAUUACAAAUUGUGGGCCAUCCCACAUGGUCUUCAUUGACCAUUUCCGUACUUUAAAUAUUUAAAGGAAAUUUUUUUUUGCCUUGGAAAGUUGAGAAUGCUGCUGGGGACAACAAGGUUGGAAAUUGAUUACUAAAGCAUGCCAUGUUUCCACGUUUUGGUCUUAUCACUGUGGAAUUUUUAUAUUUUAAGUGGGUCCAAGAUGAAUAAGUCAUUAUUGGUGAUUAUAUAAACCUUUUUCUUAUCCUUUACAUGGAAAAUCUGCAAAAACAAUCUGUGGCUUCUCACAUUUGUUUUUUCCCGUUAAGAGCUCCAAGAACAAAUUCUAAUGCUAUCAAAGAAUACAAACCAAAAUCUUCAAGUAAACCAGAGAUCUGUUGGAAAUGAAUUAAUAUUGAAGCAGAAUAAUUCUUGGUAUAUGAGGCUAAAAGGGCGACGAGGCGAAAAGGAUUCAUGAAUAGUCGCUGACAGGUAUGUAAAGCCUACCUUUCUUUCUUUUGGCAUGACCUUUAUGAAACGAACAAAUAACACAUAUGUAUGCUUUUAAAGAAAAUCCUAUUCUUAAAGCCACUAGGAUGACCAAUAUCUUUGACUUCCAUAAGCCAUUCCAUAUGGUUUGAUACGUACUUAUGAUGUCCGAAGUUCUAUUUGAUAUGUUUCCGAAUGUUGUUCGAAAAAUAUUUGAUAUGGCUAAAGUCUUGGAUAUAUAUUUUGAUACGUACAUAUGACUCUAAAGGCUCCAUUCGAUUUGAUCCAUAAGGAUAUUUGAAAGUUCCCUAAUAUGAUUGUUACUUGAAUUUCCAAAAAGAGCUUCUGAAACGUUUUUAGAACGUUCUGUACUUCAAAAGUUCGUAACUUUCGUAUACUAAUUCUGAUUGACCCGAAACUGAUUUCUGAGCCUUCGGAUGCCGUAAAUAUAUUGUCCAUCGAGUUUUGGAAUUUAUUUAAUUAUAUGCAUUUAGUUUCUCACUACUCCACUCGUGGAUGCCCUCAAUGCUGCUUUCACUGAGCCCGGGCCAGGAUAUGUUAUCACGCGUAUUCCACUGCAUUGUUCGCCGUGCCUCGAUGUGAGGGGGCAGGUAUACAUGUACAUGGGUUGUGGAGUAUGUUGUGCCAUGUACACACAUUCUGAUAUAUGAUAAUAUGAUAAGAUAUGGCCAUCGAAUAUGUUUGAUAUGUGCACAUUCUGAUAUGAUAUGAUAUGUUACGGAGCUAUUCCCUACUCUGGAGUAUGCUGUGUUGUGGCGCCAGUGACGGGGUGGCGACCACGUUCUGUUCACCGAGUCCCAUAAUGGGGGUCGGAUAUGGCAUAUGCUCUGACAUGUAUUAUCUCUGUUCUGUGAGUAAGCAUUUUGACAUUCCGGUUAUUGUACUUAUAUUUUGUACCCUCUGUUCAGAUUAUGAUUCUGUUUAUUGUACUUUAUGCUUUACAUACUCGGUACAUAUUCCGUACUGACCCCCUUUCUUCGGGGGCUGCGUUUCAUGCCACGCAGGUACAGACGACUGAUUUACCGAUCCGCUCGCUUAGGAUUCUAUUCUGCUGUCUUGGAGUGCUCGGUUGUUCGGAGCCUACGUCUUGGUACAGUCUUUUGCCAUUGUACAUAUGUAUGUGGUUCAGGGGUAUGACGGGGCCCUGUCCCGUCUUGUGAUUCGGUUGCUAUUUGUAGAGGUCUGUAGACAUACAUGUGGGUUGUGUAUAUGUUUUGGGUUGAUAUGA